rnacentral:lncRNA from 1 species
UCACUAGCACCACUCCAUCUCCGCACAGAAGAUGAUAAAUCAGAAGAGAGCCUUUUCAGCUCAGUGGAUUUCACCACAGCUGUUUUCCCUCCGGAGCUUUCUUUCUGCUUGUUUUCAAAUAGGUUGAUCCUCUCCUGCACGCUGAGCCGUCUCGUGAGCUGCUUAGUCUGGCUUGCUAAUGGCUCAUUUUGCACAGGGAUUUUUUCCUCUUCUUCAUCCUUUUCAUCAUGACUACUUUGUGGCAUCACCUUUGCUUCUUGCAUACCAGUUUGAUGUUCUCUAUGUUGUUGGGUUCUAUUAGUUGGUAGGUUUCUGGAUGGGUCUUCACUGGGAUCAUCAAUUGACAUAUCAGAUUCCCAAGAUGAACGUAUAGCUUCUUCUUCCUGAUUGAACCUCCAAGAGCUCAUAAGCUCUGGCCUUCUCUGGAAAAGUGCGAUAAACUUGGCGCAUGCUUCACUGCAAUAAGUAUAGCAGACCAAGCAUGAUCAGAGUACUCAUAACAGGUAGCUAACUAAGUUGAAAGCCAAAAUAUAUUCUAAAAAGUGAGAUAAUUCUCCAGGGUUAAGAAAUUGAAUUCUUUUAAUACAGUUAGGCAUUCUAGUCCUUUAUAAUCAUGUUCAUCCACCUACCAGUAGGUCUCAAGUGUCUAUCAGACCAAACCUACCUAAAUUAGAGCAUGAUGGGUUUCUGUUUAUGGAAAAGCGCAUGCAUCAAGGCCUAAACAUUUAAACGUAAGACAUAUAGGAGACUAUAUAAACAUGUGGUUAUGGUGAUCAUAGGCUAAACAGGUGUUAUCACAAAGUCCAAAAUUCAAAAGAGGGAUCAGUGGCAGAGGGUAAUAAACCAAGAAACCUUGCUUGAAUGGUCUACAUAGCAAGCAUAAGCAAAAACAAAAAAGUAAAAAAAUGUAAAAUUUGAUAGAUACAACUAUGAAAAGCUACAACUUAAAUUACAGCCCCAAUCUUUUUGGUUUAAGCUCAGAUAAAUUAGACAAGGUGACGUAAUUGUUGUCUAGUCUUCUUGCGUGUAAAAGGGGCACACACAUAGGGCAAAGCAACAGGAAAGACCUGGCAAAUAAUAUUAGAGGAGAUAAAGGUAAAGGAUAUCUUAGGACUUACUUCAAGCGAUUGGCCCCAAAUCGAUCAGCAAAUUGACUAAGUUCGGGGACAGUGACUGGGUUGAAACCAGCAGCUGAUGCACGAUUACAAGCAGUUGCCAAGUCCUGUCUAACCGCUGCAAGCCGUAGAUCAAUAGCUCUAAGUAGCUCCUUCCUGGAAAGACAGAAAAUAAAAAGAUUCAGCGUUACACAUUUCAAGAGUGCAUAAGAGAUGUAAAAUAAAGCAAAUUCGCACAGUUAACAGAACAAACAUUAAUAGAUUAAUUUGGCUAUGUAUUCAUAAUUUUUAUCAAAAGUAAAUAGCAAGAAAGGUUAGGACUUUACUUUGUCACAUCAGCUGCUGUUGUAGUUUCCGUGCCAUCUGAACGAAGAAAGGUUUAGCCAGAUUAUACCAAAGCAAGAGAAAGACUACUAACAUGUAAUAGAAUAUAUCUGAUAGACCUUUGUGGAUAAAAAUAGAACUACAGUGCCUUCAGAUUCUAAAUUUCACAAUGCCAUUCAUAACUCAAAAGGUGCCCUGUAGAUGCUUUUCUCAUAUUUGGCAGUUAGAUUCUUAAUUUCCAUAUUGUAAACACAGCCAAGUAUAACAGACUAAUCGAAAGAGGCACAAUGAUGGUCUAUAGAAAGAUACUUUUCUAGCGUCCAUUAAUGAGUUACCAGCAUCACAAUUCACAUCACAACUCUAAUCGUUAACCGCCAAUUUCUUAGGGACGGUACGUGUACCAGAAUAUACAAAUACAAACAAGUAAACAGUAUGCAUACCUUUUGAACCAGGUCGCUGAUCACCAGUCCCCUAAAGCAAGAUAUUAGCAAAAUCAAUCUCAAGUUAACUUAACACAUCAUUUGCUUUCUCGAAAUUAAAAGAGGUUCAAGUACCUCGCCAUAUAUUUUCCGGGCAGCCUCUAACUGAGACAUUUCCUCAUCCAAAGAGCUAACCAAUUCCAUAACCUCUGGGGUACUAACAAACCGUACAAACCUAUAAAACAUAGUAAGCAAACAAGGAAAAUUAGCAGGCAAUGAGUUCCACUCCACUAAAACUUGUACAUCAAACGGAAUCAAAACCUCUCGAGUGUCCCUUUAGUAAACCAAGUUCCAGCAUUCUCGCUGCUUUCAGCUUGAAGCCUUAUAGACUGAGCUUCCCUGGCGACCUGCUCUUCAGCGACUUUCAAAUGAGCAACAAAGGGUUUCACCAGUCCAGAAGCAAGCUUCUCAGUGUUCCCCGCAGUAGAGACAAACAACUCACAUCUGCCCAGUAAAAGAAAAGAAAAUAUCUUUGAAAAAUCCCAAAACAAUGAAAACGAAGAAGCCAUCUCCAAAUACUAGUUAGUACCUUGAGCGCUUUGGGGAGAGUUGGAAGACAGCAUAGUCAAGAGGUACAGCAGCUGGUCUCAUCUUCUCCCCCUUUCACAUACCCAACAAACAGAUAAAAAAGUAAAAGACAGCUGUCGAUUUUAAAGAGCCACAAUGCUAAAGAGGAACCAAUCUCAACUUAAAGACACACUACAACAAUAAUAGAAACCUCCCACAGUUGACAUCAAUCACAUUGUCAGAUCUGCUUCCGAUCAUGCAAAAUCCAAUCAAUAAUGGAAUCUAAUUCACAGUAAAAAUCCAGAAUUCGAAUUCGAAAUUCAAAGGCAAAAGUGGAACAAGAAAAAAAAAAAAAAAGAUCCCCACAUCGAAAAAGGGAAUGAGAAUAUUUGAAGUGAAGUCGUACUCGGAUCAGGCUAUAGUAGAGACGCGUACCUGUGGGUAGAAGGAAGGAAGGAAAUUCAAAAAUGAGAUCUUUGGGUCUCUUUCCGAUUCAAAUUCGAGGAGUCACUAUCAUUGACGAGUCUCUUUCUCUGCUUGUCUAUGUUAAGCGAAUCUUAUCUUCAAUACAAAGUUCAACGCUUUUGUUAUUCUUCGAUACAAAGUUCGGAGCUUUUUAAAACCCUAACAAUGGCGGCGAUUGUUUUGUUUUGUUUCAUCUCUCAGAAACUCUUUUGACUUUAACUUCUUACUCUCUUUUUUUAGUUGCUUCCGAGUGGUGGAUUUGAUGUAUCUCCCAUUGUCUCUCCUCCCGUCGUAUACUCUCUCUUUGUCAAAAUCUACUUUUUGAGAGAGAAAGUAGAUUCAAGAGAGAGAGUGUUUUUCAGACAGAGAAAAAUCACCAUUUUUGUUGACGACAAGUACCCGUUUACCGUGAGAAACAAAACAAAAUAAAAAGGUAAAAUUUGAAAAUUUAAAUAAAAAUUAAAAAUAAUAGUCGGCAGUAAAAUGCGAAAUCCCGAAAAUAGGGUUUGCCUAAUCUCAAACUUUUUCCAAAAAAAGAUUUUUUAGUAGGUUGACAUUCAUAGUACUCGACUGAAAAGUGUCAAUCUUAUAUAUUAAAAAUAAGUCACAACUUUAAAUUAUGUGUGAUUUUUCUUUUUUAAAAUGGACUUAUUAUUAAAAAGUCAUGUUACAUUUAAUAUAUAAUCUUAUCAUUUAAAUUUUGGGUCUAUCAGAAAUUUUUAUUGGGCUAUCAAUAAUUGGAUUUAAACAAUAGUUAAUCAAUUGGAUUUAUAGAUAGUAUAAAUUAAAUAGAUAUAAUUUAAUAUUGAAAUAUUAUACCUCUAUAUGCUAAAUAUUUAAAUAUUUAUCGAUCUUUAUGUUAACUUUUAAAAUUAUAAUUUUUUUUAAAUAACAAAAAUCAUAUUAUCUAACAAUGAUUAAUCUUUAAUACCUUAAACCAAUGAAAACAAAUUUUAAACUAUAUAGUUUAUUUUAAAAAUUAAACAAAAACUAAAAUAUUAAAUUAUCGCUGUGAAGUGGCAGCCUGUGGCUUACCUCUACGGACAGAACUGGAUUGAUCCCCCGGCACACGGAGCAUGUGUUCAGCAAAUAGCUUUUCAAGCUCGUUUGCUUUAACUUUCAACUCAUCAUUCAACUCUUGGCUUCCCUUAAACGCUCUAGCCCUUUGAACUUGCUCUGGUGGGGACACUUGGCUCAUAGUAUCAGUCUCGGAACCUUCACCCCUUCUACCUUGCGGUCUUUUCAUCUGUUCAGAACCUAAAAGACGAUGGUGCAAGAAAAAUAACCAGAAGAUUGCUAAAUUUUCCCAUUUUGUCCAAGUCAGGAUAUAAAGAAAAUGUACAAGUCUAGAAAAGAAUCUAGGCACGUUAUCACGAUUGAGAAUUAGUCGUUUACCUAUUCUCAGACUCUAACUGUUUAAUAAUAAAAAAGAAUACUUCAACAGUCAUGAAUCAUGAUCAUUUUCAAGCAUUAGAAAAACAAGGAAGAAACCAUAGACUUGUGUCUCAAUAUAAGAAAAUGCAUAUAAAGGAAAGACCAACACAUUUUUAACUUUACUGACCUCCAUAGACUUGUGUCUUUCUCUGGCGAUCCUCAACUGGUGGUGAUUGCCUAGCCAACGGUUCUUUCCUAGGAGACUCUGCAGUUCCUCCAUUGCUCCGAACACUUGUGAAAUUAGAUUCAGCACCACUUAACUGCUGUAACGUAGACAAAGGAUGACUCCGAGGAUCUCUAAACUGUAUUUGGUCCUGCUUAUUUGAUUCAGAGUCUCCCGUUUUGUUAUCAGAUUCAUCAUCAUCAUCUCUAUUUGCAUUCUCUGAGUAAUCAGAAGUCUCUCUGGUACUUUUUUCAUUGUAUGGAAACUUGGAACUUUUCUCCAAUAAACUAUCCUGUGAAUUUCCUUGAUGUCCCACUUGGCUACCCGUGCUCGAUGGCAUGUUCAAGUUUACCUCCUUGUCACCAAGAUUGUUGGAGCUACAUUCGUCUGCAGUCCUGUGAGAGCUCUCAACAUGACUCAAUCCGGUCUGCUUGUAGCCGACAGAUUGUUUUGAAGAUAUACCACUUCCAUCUUUGGACACUGAUGAAGCCGGGGGAGUGCACAAUGGACUAUCACCAGUACCAUCCUUCCUAUCAUUUCCCAAAUCAAUGCUCAUGUCACUAGCACCACUCCAUCUCCGCACAGAAGAUGAUAAAUCAGAAGAGAGCCUUUUCAGCUCAGUGGAUUUCACCACAGCUGUUUUCCCUCCGGAGCUUUCUUUCUGCUUGUUUUCAAAUAGGUUGAUCCUCUCCUGCACGCUGAGCCGUCUCGUGAGCUGCUUAGUCUGGCUUGCUAAUGGCUCAUUUUGCACAGGGAUUUUUUCCUCUUCUUCAUCCUUUUCAUCAUGACUACUUUGUGGCAUC